UGCCAGUAUUAUAUACUUAUAUUAAAGAUUAAGCCAUGCAAAUGUUAGAUCGAAUUUUUUAACUUUUAAUCUGUUGAUGGCUCAAUACAAGAGUUAUUUACUCUUCGUUUGCCAGCACAGCUAAGGAUAACGUAGCCAACAGCAGCGAUAAUACUCGAAUAAAUAGGGUGCAAAAACACCUUAAUGAUAGGAGAAGUAGAUUUAAGCCUAUCACAACCAAACUAUUUUGCUUUGAUACCGUUAAAAGUUGAGAGGUAAAAUAUUGGAUGUUGACCGAUUUGUAUAAUGAGAUAAGGCCACACGUUUUCAUAGAUGUAUCGGCGUAUCUUUAAUAAGAUGGCCAAAUGUAUGUGUUUCUUAUCUAUCAGUUUCAGAUGUUUUAUUAAGGAUGAAACAUGGCUUUUACGGAUACGGAGAAUUAGAGUUUGAUACCGGAGAGGGCGCUUGAGGAUUGGCGACCACGUCUAAGGAUGGCAGCAGGCGCGAAAAUUGUCCAAUAUUGACUUAAUGAGACAGUGACGAUAAAUAACGACCUUUAACUUUUCGUUAAAGGGUAUCCUUUGGGUUUGUAAUGGUUGUACAUUAAAAUUCUACAAGAGUAACGAUUGGAGGAAAAGUCUGGUGCCAGCACCCGCGGUAAUUCCAGCUCCAAUAGCGUAUUCUAAAAUUGUUGCAGUUAAAACGCUCGUAGUUUGACUAAAAAUACAAAUGUGUGAGCAGUGUCAAAUGCGGCUAUCUUUUUAUGAUUCAGUUCGUUUAAAGAAGCUGUGCCCAAGGCAAAAAUUUUGACAUUUUUAGAUCACGCCAAACUUACUGUAGCUUGCUACUUUAGGCUGUGUGUUAUCGCUUACAUAAUGAAGUAUUUGCUGUUUCCAACUGUGAGUAAAUCAAAGUGCUUAAAACAAGCUAACUAUUUAUAGUGUAGCAUGAAUGGUUUAGCAUGGUAUUGGAUUAAUAUUUUCUUCAAAUAUUAAAAGAGAACUAGGCAGAGGGUUUUUGCAUUGUAUUGUUAGAGGUGAAAUUCAGAGAUCGAUACAAGACUCACAAAUGCGAAGGCAGUUAUACCCAUGACAUUUCUAUCAAUCAGGAACGAAAGUUGGGGGAUCGAAGAUGAUUAGAUACCGUCGUAGUCCUAACCGUAAACUAUGUCGACUAAAGAUUAGUUAA
rnacentral:rRNA from 1 species